GGCCCACGUCCUGCCGAAGAUACCGUACUAUCUAGCCAUACUCGUCCCGCUUCUCUUGCCGCCGGCGAUCGUGCUCUUCUUCGUCCGAGCUGCCGGCAGCAGCACCAAGGCCGCGGACGGAAAGAGCAUCAGCGUCAAGGAUGUUGACUUUUCCAUGGUUCUUCUGUUGCUUUUGCUUCUGUCGACGAUCAUAGGAACCAUCAAUUUCGCUUUUUACAAGUAUGGAUAUCCUUGCGAUCUUCUGGGCCACGUGGCUCUCUUCUUCAUCUUCCUGUGUGAAGCCCUCGUCUAUGUCCGCGCUGCACUGGCGCAGUGGAUGAACCCCAAGCCCAGCAACAUGGUGGCUGCAGAGUAACGCCCACUUGCUCAGUUUCAGGUGCGCAGGAUGAUGGAGAGUACUACGUAGUACUGUACUGCAGGAGCGCUUCUGCUUCCUUCUAGCUUUGUUGCUGUUCUGAAUAAAGAGACGGACAUGCAUGUCCUGUGAUGUGUAGCAUCUAGUACUCCUAGUAUCAAACUUGCUUCAGUUAAUGCUAGUUCAGCGCUGAUGCAGUGUCUGAAGCAAUAUGGUAAUUUGGCUGGACACUCUGAACCGCACCUAUAUCGAUCUAAAACAGCAUGUAUGUGUUGCUGUCAUUUACGUGUACGUGCCUAUAAAAUAUGAACAACUUCUAUUCUGUAGUAUGUAAAAUACCAUAGCA